UGGUCGCCAGCCUCUGGCCAGCCCCUGCAGCCCAGCCGUUUUCCGGCAGGAGGGCUGGGCUGAGUACGGCCGAGGACUGGGCAGGCAGGGCAGCCGGUGGUCGCCGUCCCUCCAGGACACGAGUGCCCCUGCACAGGGGCGGAAGGGGAGGCCCGGGAGCCGGGGAGCCGCGGAGGCCAAGGGCCAGGCCGGCCAGGCCCCAGGGCAGGGCGGGGCGAUCCCAGCGUGCGGCCCUGAGGCACUGUCCCCACACCGCUCCACACUGUCCCGAAGCCCCCGAGCGCCAGCCCGGACCCCCGGGACACGCCCCCCACCACACACACACACACACACACACACACACACACACACACACACUCCCCCCCCCGACCCCCGGGACACACACCCCCACCCCACCCCCUGCACCCCCCGCACCCCCGACCGCUGGGACACCCCCCCACACACUCCCCUCCCCUCCAGCAACGCGCGGCGCUCCCAUCCCCCGGCAGCCCACCAGGUGGCGCUCGCUCCCCCACCCCCCCCCCCCCGCGCCGACGCCCGUGACGUCAGCCGCCCGGCUCCAUUUGAGCGCCUCUCGGCAGCCGAGAACUCGGACUUCCCGUGUGGCUCACAACAUAACUACUCGGCGUUGCUUCUACAGUGGCUGUGGCUCGACCCCUGGCCUGGGAACUUCCAUAUGCCGCAGCCCCGCGGCGGCAGAUGGCACUCGUUCUGCCGCUUUUUCCUGGCUGUGUGCGAUGCCAUCGCAUAGAUGUCCCCGGGUCUGCGAAGUGCACUCACCUGUCAGUGGACCUUUAGGUGGCUUCCAGAUCUUGGCUCUGCCCCGCGGCGGCAGAUGGCACUCGUUCUGCCGCUUUUUCCUGGCUGUGUGCGAUGCCAUCGCAUAGAUGUCCCCGGGUCUGCGAAGUGCACUCACCUGUCAGUGGACCUUUAGGUGGCUUCCAGAUCUUGGCUCUGGUGAGUAGUGCGGCGACAGACAGAGGGGUGCCCGGGUCUGCUUCCGGGAAAGUUUGGUCCCGGUGAAAUGGAGCUGUUUGGAGGCCGGCUUCGGUCUUUGUGUGGGCCGGCCCGUGUAGGGCUGCUUGGCUGAGACUCUGUCGAGGAGGGAGGCCUUCAGCCACCGGGGCCUCACGGGGCCUACCCGUGCGGCACCAUCACAGAGCUCUCCGUCACUGCCCCUUGUGGG
rnacentral:lncRNA from 1 species